CCGAGUUUACAACUCCCUAACCCCUGUGAACAUACUAAUUGUUGCCUCGGCGGAUCAGCCCGCUCCCGGUAAAACGGGACGGCCCGCCAGAGGACCCCUAAACUCUGUUUUCUAUAUGUUAACUUCUGAGUAAAAACCAUAAAAUAAAUCA
rnacentral:misc_RNA from 1 species